rnacentral:misc_RNA from 1 species
AACUUCCUCAGCUGCGAUAUCUCUGUUUGGAUGACUGCAGGGAUCUUAAAGCUUUGCAAAAGCUUCCAGUGACCAUGCAUGAAAUAUCUGCAAAUAAUUGCUUCUCACUAGAAACAUUAUCAAGUCCAGAUGCAAUUGCAGGUAAAUGGAUGUGGCCAAUUUUCUACUUCACUAAUUGUUUCAAGCUUUCUGUGAAUCAAGGUGGUGACAGUAUGCCAUUUAAAUUUUUAAGAAGCCAUUUGCAGUCUUUAUCAAUGAAUCAGCUUCAGGAUGUCUCAUUUCCAGGAUGUAGAUUUGAUGUUAUUGU